rnacentral:miRNA from 1 species
ACGCGGCGUCACCCAAUCCGGAGAGGAAUAGGGAGAUUGGCUCCGGAUUGUGGGUUCCCGCGU